CUUGCUGGAGAUAACGAUUCCAAGGAAGCUGUUAUUGAUGGAUUCAAGGUGUUGUCUGACAACAAAGA
rnacentral:snRNA from 13 species